GAUGAACGCUGGCGGCGUGCCUAAUACAUGCAAGUCGAGCGAACCGAUUAAGAGCUUGCUCUUAAGAAGUUAGCGGCGGACGGGUGAGUAACACGUAGGUAACCUGCCUAUAAGACUGGGAUAACUCCGGGAAACCGGGGCUAAUACCGGAUAACGUUUUGCACCGCAUGGUGCGAAAUUGAAAGGCGGCUUCGGCUGGUACUUAUAGAUGGACCUGCGGCGCAUUAGCUAGUUGGUGGGGUAACGGCUCACCAAGGCGACGAUGCGUAGCCGACCUGAGAGGGUGAUCGGCCACACUGGGACUGAGACACGGCCCAGACUCCUACGGGAGGCAGCAGUAGGGAAUCUUCCGCAAUGGACGAAAGUCUGACGGAGCAACGCCGCGUGAGCGAUGAAGGCCUUCGGGUCGUAAAGCUCUGUUGUUAGGGAAGAACAAGUGCUAGUUGAAUAAGCUGGCACCUUGACGGUACCUAACCAGAAAGCCACGGCUAACUACGUGCCAGCCGCCGCCGUAAUAC
rnacentral:rRNA from 1 species